AUUGGAAGCUCUGAGUGCUCUGACACAGACUCUGAAGAGCAGGGAGACCAUGCCCGCCCCAAGAAACACACCACGGACCCUGACAUUGAUAAAAAAGAAAGAAAAAAGAUGGUCAAGGAAGCCCAGAGAGAGAAAAGAAAAAACAAAAUUCCUAAACAUGUGAAAAAAAGAAAGGAGAAGACAGCCAAGACGAAAAAAGGCAAAUAGAAUGAGAACCAUAUUAUGUACAGUCAUUUUCCUCAGUUCCUUUUCUCGCCUGAACUCUUAAGCUGCAUCUGGAAGAUGGCUUAUUGGUUUUAACCAGAUUGUCAUCGUGGCACUGUCUGUGAAGACGGAUUCAAAUGUUUUCAUGUAACUAUGUAAAAAGCUCUAAGCUCUAGAGUCUAGAUCCAGUCACUGACUCUGUCUGGUGUUGACAGAGGAUUUAUUUAAGCUAUUAUUUUAAUAAAGAACUUUGUACAUUUUU
rnacentral:lncRNA from 1 species